rnacentral:rRNA from 1 species
AUGUCACAAAAACUUGGAAGUGCUGAUACUUCUACAAUAUGUUGUUUUAUCUCUAGCUGUAUGAGAAUGAAGGUUUUGCUAUUUUAUCUGGUUGCUCAACAUACCACUUGGUUAACAUUAUGGAUGGUUUGGAUCGGUACUCCACGAACAUCCUUUUCCAGGUUGUUACCAGCAGUACUGAUAUUUGUGGCCGAACAGUGUAUCACAGUAUUGUUUUGUCCUUAUUGUCAGCGAAGUUUUUCCCUUUUCUGGAGUUUUCUUUUAAUUCUUUUACUCCCUCCGGUCCAUAUUGGUUGUCGCAGCUUUAGUACAACUUUGUACUAA